GGUUUUUUUUUUUUCUUUUGUUUGUAUGAUGGACCAUUGCAAUAUGAUCUAGAUUUUUCUUAACAAAGGAGUUCCCCUUCCCCCCAACCCAUUUCUUAUUUUAAGUGAUAUUUCAAUCGUAGGCUUUAUUUACUUUGUUGAUUUUAUUGCUAUGGGGUCUUUUCUUGGACGCAUCUUGUGCGUGUAGGGCUGUGCACCCAUUCUUUUAAAUGAGUUGCUGUCGAAUGAGAAUGAAAACAAAAUGGAGGACUGACAAAGUUAGUUCUUACCGUUGAUGUUAUUGAAUUCAUUAACUUUUGGGAUUAUUCGGAACUUUCUAGCUUUUAGCUUUUCUUCAAGUCUGGUUAUUCUGGCAUUCUAGAGGAAAGCUUUCUGCUUUGUACUAGUUCUCGUGUACUUGAUUAGGUGCAUGAUUCUGCCAGUUGGUGUGAAACUUGUUGGAGGACAUAACAGUGAAAACACUGAAUAUUGGAGUUUGAGUCUUCAAAUACAAUGGGGUAACUUGGGGGGAGUGUGUUGGAGCGGCUAAUCAUAAUUCAAUUAGUGAAUGGUACCAUUUGAGCCAUUAGGAAUGCCAAAUGCUUGUGAUAUUGUCUGCUUAGCUAACUAAUCGGUGCCAGAAACUUCAGCAGGGGCAGGGGCAGGGGCAGAGGGG
rnacentral:misc_RNA from 1 species